rnacentral:rRNA from 1 species
UACGGAGGGGGCAAGCGUUAUUCGGAAUUAUUGGGCGUAAAGGGCGCGUAGGCGGCUAGAUGUGUCAAAGGUGAAAUCCCUCGGCUCAACUGAGGAACUGCCUUUGAAACUGUCUGGCUUGAGGCCGGGAGAGGGUAGCGGAAUUCCCAGUGUAGCGGUGAAAUGCGUAGAUAUCAGGAGGAACACCGGUGGCGAAGGCGGGACUCUGGGCCGAUACUGACGCUGAGGAGCGAAAGCGUGGGGAGCGAACAGG